CCCAGAUAGCACACGUACGUCUCAGAUACGUAUCUGCGAGGUAAUCACUCAGAUUUCCAUUCCGUCUGGAAAACGUAUUAUAAAGGUCGUUUGCCCAUAUGAAUUACGUAUCUGAGACGUACGAGCCCAGCCGUUUUGAAGACGCUUUUAAGAUCUUUUCAAGACGCUUGAUAUUUAGAAUGAUGGUUAGCAGAUGUUUCUAAGAUAUUUCCAAGAUGUUUCUUAGAUCUUUAAAAGAUCUUUAUAAGAGCUUUAAUCGAGCUCUUUCUAAGAUGUUUCUGAGAGCUUUAAAAGACGAUUAAAAGAUCAUUAAAAAUAAAUUGCUCUAAACUACAUCUUCUACACAGUUAUACACAUUAUUACAAUAUAUCAUUGACAACAAUUAAAACAGUUUUUUCAAUAAAACAGGCAGUUGAUUGCGUAAAAUUUAUUAAAAUUAGACAAAGGAAAACAUUCAUAAGAUGCAUAUUUACACGAGUGUAUGCAAAAAAGCAACGUUUUUCUAUAACAUACAAAGAAACACAAUAUCUUUAAAUUAAUCAAAUGCUUCCUCGGGCAAAGAACAUCUUUUCCCGAUUUUCCGCGUCUCCUUCAGUGGUAGACGGACGGAUUCUUCAUCUGCAGCAGAUGCAUUCUAAAAGAAACCAUUACAAAAAUAAGGAAAAAUGAAUUUUACAAACUAUGUCAUAUGUUUUCUUUGUUUCCUCAAUAUAACUCUGAUAAUGUCAAACAAAGAUAAAAUCAUCCGUAUUAAUCGUCAAUAUCGUGUAUAUUAUUAAUAUGAGCGUCUUUGCGUUAAAUUCGUGCUACACCACACCAUGCACUUAUAUCGACGUCGCAAUGCAAAAGAAGAAGGGCAAGAAAGAAACCUGUCCUGGUCUGGCGAUUUAAGGGGACAUUUGUUUAAGCCUGUCUAGAUCUUUUAUCAGUCUAGAAAGAUGUUGGAGAAAAGACAUCAUCCUCUUCUAUAAUCUCCAUCUGUAAUUGGACUAACAACUGGACCAGUGAAUGCAGGCAACUUACUCUCCAUUCGACCUUGCAGGUCACACCAUGGUCUCAAGAGGGAAAAUGAGUGCUCUAUGGAUUGAACAGAAAAGGUGAAUCAAAACUCCAACCAUCUGUAUGAGGGUCUGGAUGGAUAAAGGAUGCCCACUGGAGCUGGAAAUGAUGGAUCAGGUGGAUCCACACUUGAACCAUCUGUAUGAUGAUCUGCACCCACUGGAUCUGUAAAUGGUGGUGCAGGUAAGUUUCACAAGUAAACAAACUCCAAUCCUAUUCAGACCAUUCAUGAUUCCAGCAAUAACCAAGUUUUUUCUUAACAAUAAGACUGCAUUUACAAUGCAAAUCUUAAUGCACAGAUCAUAUUUUUUUGACUAUAUUCAUUUUUUGUUCUGAUCUUUUUAUAUUUACAUAAGACACUAUUCAUAACUGAUAUCGGUGUUACAAUAAUUUGCAAAACUACAGUUAAUAUGAGUGUCAUGAUUUGCACUUGAGUUUUGUAUCGACUUAAGCCAGGGUCACUGCCAAUUUAGGCAUGUUUUAAUUAUGACACUUAAACAAUUGUAUAUGUACUUCGAUAAAGGUUUUUGCAAUCAUGGAAACAUAAGUGAAUCGCAGACAGCAUUCUUCUUUUACGAAUGUAAAAUGGCUGGAGUAGUGAUGUCACUAGCUAAAUUAAUUUUCAUUUGACCUCCCCCACAGAAAGACACAGCACAUCAUUAUAUCGUUGGCUCCGCCCACUGGUGUUCAGUCUAAAGUAGUAGUUGUUGACAAUCAUAAAGUUGUAAUAACAGUAAGAUUGUGAUGUCAGACAAACAUUGUGCUGUUGCUGGCUGUGGGAAAUUAGUGUCUUUGUAAGGGUCGCAAAUAAUUUGAAAAUAUUUAUGUUUCUAAAUAUGCCCCCCUACCAUGAACUAAACUGGACUGUUGCAGAGACCAAGUGUAGUAGGGUACACUACUAUGCAGGUGACAUUCUUUUGUUUAUUGAAGCUAUGACAAAUAAUUUGUCUGUUUAGUUAAUGUUUUAUACAGUGUAACUGUACCUAAACAUUGUUCCUUGAGGUCCUCUGCUAUUCACAUUUUGUAUGUCUUCCUUAUUUAACACACCUUAUUCAAAUCAUCAGCUCAUUAGUAGAGAUCUUCAUGAACUGAACUGAGGCUGUGUCCAAAUGUUCACACUUGUUGUCUUUGCACUAGACUACUUACAUUACGGUUUUUUUUUGUAUUUGGCCUAAGUAUUCUAGUGGGCGUGAAGAUCCCAAGCGUGCAUGUAGAAUUAUUCAUCCGAUGGGACACACUUAGCAUGGGUAAAAAUUUCAAUCCAGGUAGUGCCAGCAAUUUGCACCAAAACGUAUUUGUGUUUUAUUUACUACUUUUAAUUUAUAUUUAACAUUUUUAAGUUUUUCUGUAAAUAAAAUGAACACUCUGAAAUGAACAUUUGCUUAUAUCAAACUUUUAGAUGCAGAAUUCUUUGCUCCUGUAAAAAAGCUCUUUGUUUUGAGUAUGUAGCUUUAUUAAAGUGUAUUAUUUAUUCAGUAGUCCCUAAAUAAACGACACAAUGUUGCAGAUGUUUCACAAAAUGCAUAACAAUAAUGCAGUGAACACCAUAGAAAUGUUAACAUACAAUUAAAAGUCUCAUGCUUUACAUCCAGAACAUGAUGCACGAUAGGAUGCACAAAGUGAUAUUUGGACGCAGCCUCAGUCUGUCAAAUCAAAGAGACAUACAGAAUGCACAGAGCAGUGGGACUCCAUGAACAGAGUUGAGAACCACUGCUGUAACUCAUUAUGCUUACCUGACUCAUGCAGAAUUCUGGCCUGGUGUUUGGUCCCCCUUUCUCUGGCUUGUGUCUCCAUCAUCAUUACACUCUUGUCAGUGUAAUAGUAUCGUCGUCUGCAUACCAGGACUUUGUUACUCAGCUGUCCCUUCUCCUUCAAGCUACAUUUUUGUCAAGCUGCAACAAGUUGGAAUACAUAAUUAUUAACGUUUAAUGAUUUUAAUGUAUGAAAUAUGUAACAAAAGCAAAAAAUGUAUAGACAUUCUAUUAAGAAAUUACCUUUUUGUUGUUUGUUUACUGACCUUUCAACCAUAUUGCAUUUAUAAUUGAUCAUCAUACCUUUGGUCUACUGUUAACAGGCUACUGUAGAAAACAAAGUCAAACAAAAAAGAGAGAAAAAAUUAUAAAUGCUGAAUGUGUCUCAUCUUAAAUACAUUGUUGUUGUUUUUGUUUCAUUGAAUUUGGAUGUUUUGAUGAUUUAAGGAAAAUUUACGUAGCAUAUAUAUUGAUGUUUUAAAUCAGAGUUUGUUAAUGACACUUAAUCAUUAACAAACAUUUAAAAAGCUUUAUUACAAUACUAAUUGAUAAUAUUCAUGUAAUAAUCUUGUUUUGUAACACCCUAAAUCACUGAGCGCACAAACGCUACCCCUGUUACAAGCAUGAGUGAUUGACUUCAGGCACACAUGCGCAAACAUUGAAGUACCGCGAGAGUGAUUCAAAAGCCCACGAAACAGUGUAAUCACGCGGUACUGUGAUGUCAUACUGGUUAAGGCUAAGCCACGUGAAGCCUGACACAAGGGCUACACUAAUCUUUGGGCUGGAGUAGCCUGUGGCUUCGUGUCUCAUCGCGUUAAACGAUCGCAGAACGAUUUAUUUCUCUUUUUCACCUCGAUCUUUGGCCUCGUGUGAUUUACCAAAACCAACAUGUGAAGUUACAACGCUGACGAAGGAGUUUCAUCAGUAGAGUGUGUCCUGGAAAACGUGUGCUCGGAAACAUGCAGAAUACAGUAUUUACAGAGCCGACCUUGAGGCACCCACUGAUGGAUAAUCUGUUUACCUAAAAACAGCCCACCACAAUCCAUGUUUACCAGCUGUGAAAGUGCAGGCCAAAAAUCUUCCUUCACCUGUGGGCCUCUACCCACAUGUAGAUAAGCAUUUCAGGAGAAACCUGCCUGUGAUCUGCUAAGAUGCACAGAUUCAACUUUGGCCCAUUGUCAUCCCAACACCUCAUCUGCCAUCAGUUUCGUUUAGUGUCGGUCUAUUGCAAAAGUUCUUAUAAACUUUAAAUGAGACUUUGUGUUAAGCAGGGGUUUCCAAACUUUUCAUUCCACAACAUAUUAAGCCCAGGAUACACAGCAGGAUUUUUGCAAUCCAAUAAGACCUUAUCACACUGUGUGACAAGGAUUGUUUAAACUUCAGCAGUAGACUGUCGAUGAAGACACCUAUUGCAUCUGAAGCUGCGACAUCUGUCAUCAACAUGCGCUAGUGGUACACAAAUACAGGUAUUCAGGUCGUAGAAGCAAACACAUUGUUGAUGUGCGUUGAUCAUGCUGAACUUCUUACACUGUCAUAAAACUAUCGUAGGUGUCUUUGGUCCCAGGACUGGGAAAACAGACGUCUUUAAACCUCUCACACUGUAUGAGAUAGGACCACCAAUUAAGAGCCACGAUCACAGAAAUCUCCACAAUUGUUUCACGAUUGGUAAUCUUUCAUCUGGGACAGCCAAAAAUCGUGCCAUGUAUUAUGGGCUUUAGACAGGUGUAAUCUUAUAGUAUAUCAAAACCAUUGCUAAUAAUUAAUUGGACAAACCAUUACUACAAUGCAACACUCACUAUCUUACGGUGCGACCCACAAGUGGGUCUUCACCCACAGUUUAAAAACCCUGAGUAUGAGAAAGAGUAUGUUGUAUUGUAAUUAAAGUCACAUCUAAGUGUUAUGGAACAGUUUGUCAUUAUAUUCACAGUAUUACAUGGUUCUUUCAGCAGUUACUACGUUACAGUGCUCUUAAAGUGUCCUGAUCAGCUUUGGGUCUUGUGAAGUAAUGUAAUGAGAACGUGAUCAAUAGCUUUGCAGUAUUUUGUUACACUGUGGCUGUAAUCAUAUUAACACAUAGGUUAAACAUUUUAUUCAAAUUUGGUAAACAAACUAGUCAAUAUAAUUCAUGCUGUGAUGCUGGAUUAAACC